rnacentral:tRNA from 1 species
GGGAGUCUGGCCGAGUGGUCUUAAGGCGCUGUGUUUAGGUUUUCUUAUCACCGAUCCGCAGUGGGGUAACCCGCGCAGGUUCGAAUCCUGCGGCUCUCA